AUUGAACGCUGGCGGCAGGCCUAACACAUGCAAGUCGAGCGGAGCGGCGGACGGGUGAGUAAUGCCUAGGAAUCUGCCUGGUAGUGGGGGAUAACGUCCGGAAACGGGCGCUAAUACCGCAUACUAUCAGAUGAGUCUAGGUCGGUUUAGCUAGUGGGUGGGGGAAGGGCCUACAAGGGCGACGAUCCGUAACUGGUCUGAGAGGAUGAUCAGUCACACUGGAACUGAGACACGGACCAGACUCCUACGGGAGGCAGAAGUGGGGAAUAUUGGACAAUGGGCGAAGUCCUGAUCCGUCCAUGCGGGGUGUGGGAAGAAGGUCUUCGGAUUGUAAAGCACUUUAAGUUGGGAGGCGUUACCAACAGAAUAAGCACCGGCUAACUUCGUGCCAGCAGCCGCGGUAAUUC
rnacentral:rRNA from 1 species